GCGCGUUCCGCCGCACGAAGGUUCCUACGGCUGACGGGGCCGCCAUGUUGCGGGCCUGAGGCGGGGUGAGCGCCGCGCCCCGCAGCACACGAGGGGCCGGGGGGAGGCCAUGGGCCUUGGGAAGCGCCGGUGAGCGAGCGAGGGCCGCGGGCAGGGCAGGGCGCCCGGGGCUUGGCUGUGCCGGGGAACCCUCAGCCACCUCCCAGCAGUGGCUGGCCCAUGGGGGAAAGCUGCUCCCACAAGAGCAGGAGAAGCCGCCGAGCAGGAGCUGUGCCACUGGGUGAUGGGCGCCACUUGGACCAUGUCUUCCACCCGUUUUGUUGGCCAAGGCUGAAGCGGAGCUCAUGGGCAGGGGUGGUCGUGCCCAUUGUGCGUCCCAGGAAGAUGUGCUGUGCUGGGCAGAGCAUCCCAAUCGCACCCAGCUGCUUCCACAGCCGCUUCUAUGGUGCGCUGGGGAGGAGAUGACCUCUCCAGUAUCAAACCACCUUGUUGCUUCUAGGCUGUGUUUCAAAUGAUGGUUAAACCCAACAUGGCUGUGGAGCUACUGUCGCUUCAGCUGCUGCCCAGAGGAGAGGAAAGGCCGCGGGUAUCCAAGUCUUCAGCACAAGUUCUGUGGAGCGCUUAAGAAGGCUGGAGAGAACCCUGUGCCCUUGGAGAAAAUUGUUUCCCCUUUUCCUACAGGGAAUCCAGAGCCUGAGCAGCAGCUGUGAAGACUGGAGAGAAAGAAAGAAGUGGAAGAUGUUGGAAGUGCUUUGGGCAACGUGAAGAAGGAUUUGCACAGAAGGAGCUGUUCAAGGGCCCAGCAGCAAACCAGAGACACAUACAUGCUUAUAUAUAGAAGAAUGUAAACCCUCCUGUAUGCAUACGUUAAGACGUGCAUGCCUUGUUGAGAACGUAAGCAACAUUCCUUGUAGAUGAUGGUGGUCUGAGCAUUCGUGCUCCUGCAGUCGGAGUCAAAAGAUUAGUGAUGUCCUUGCUGUAACACUAGCAGUUUCUCCACUGCGCCUUGUUUAUGGCAACGUAACCGUUCCUUUCAAUGCAGUGGGGUGGAAAAUACAUCCAGAGUUAAGUACUACCUUGAGAGACCAAGCUUGCUGCGGGACGGGCACGGCCUGGCCGUGGGGCGGGCACGGGUGCUUGGCAGCUUGGACGACAGACAGUCUGUGUGUGUAUAUAUUCAGUGCUAUAGCACCAGGUGAGAUAAGCUGUUCUUCUGACUUUAGUUUCUCUGGUGCUACAUUUCAUAUUUGUCUGGGGCUAAACUGCCUCUCUGUGGUGCUACAGUUUCCCUGAGAGGAUGUUCUGAAACAUGGGACAAGGAAAAAUCUAUUUUGGUUAUUGAUAUUUAUACACAAGAUAGCAAAAAAAAAAUACUACUUGUUGAGAAGGUGCUAUUAUUGUUUCUUUCUUUCAAUCUCUGCAUAAAUUAAGACAAAAGAAUCUAGCCCAGAACUUUAUAAAACUCCUUUUCUUUGGGGCAGCUCUUUUUCUUUGGAUGGUUGGGAGCUUGGGAAGCAGCAUUCCCUGGGGUGGCAGUGACACACCAGCUCUUUUCACUGCAGUGGAUGUGUCCAAGUCUGCUGGUGCAGAAUCUCCUACAGCUCCAGAGCUGGGUAUCCUCCUGGAUGGUGAUUUAAGCCUCAAAUCCCUUGAACCAGGGAAGAGAACUGCAUCUAGAGUAAUCAAUAAACUGGGGGAUAACAAGAAAACUUGUCCUUAGAAAGCAAAGGGCUUUUUUCAGUCUAGUACUGAGCACUUUUUUUCUUGCAGCCAAAACUACCUGUCAGAUCCUGUAGGAUACCUUCCAGAUGCUAUUGACAGUGAUUAUUGUGUGCAGGUUUUUAGAAACAUUUUUCCCAGCUUCAGAUAUUUGCACCAGAAAAUUGUCCCUCCCGUGGCAGGGGGGGAUUUCAAAGGCAUAAAGGAAUGUCAUAAAGGAACCUGAUUUCCAAAGGAAGUUUGGCUCCCUGUCUUUCAAAAACCCUGACCCUCACCCAAGGAACAAGGCAAGUCAAACCUUGUGUCCUUCACUACUGCAGGAGAAAUGUUUCUAAGCAAUCUAAAAGCUCAACUCUCCCUUUAUCAACUAUUCCCCGAUGUGUUUUGGGCCCCUGCACACAUCUUCAUGGGUAUUAUUGAUCCCAGUCAAUUCACAAACAGCAGAAAGGGCUAUGCUGAAAGAGCAAAUUGUUCCUCAUGAGUAACCUUGCCCUACUUUAGAUUAUGUGCAGUGUUGGGAGGGAUCAUGUAGCUACGUGUAGUUGUCUAUUGAUAGAGUUUCGAUGGUCUCACAACCACAGGGACCCACAAAACAUUUUCCUACCAUUUGGGGUCUGAUGCUCAGUAGUACUCAGCAUCCUGUCCCCUUCCUGGCUCAGCCUCCUGCUGAGAUAAGUAAGAAUUCUUCAAGCAAAAGGAGGAGCCUCAGCUGAUUUCAGCAGUGUUGCAGGUGCUGGAUCAGGCGUAGUCUUAAAAAUAGAACUUUCUGCAGAUCACUCAAACGAGGGAGUGGAAUUGUGUGUACAGUGUUGCACAGCCAGAUUGAACAGGAAAGAAUCGAUGGGGAGGACUGGAUGGGGAACUGCUCCACAGGACACACAUCCUGCAGGAGGCCUUUCCCCCCCAAAAAACCAUCCUUCCUCCCCGUGUAUGUAACCCACAUACCCAGAGGCAGCCUUGUGCCAACCCAUUUGGUACGGGAUUUGGCUUCCCUUUCUCAGUGCAAGAGAGAGGCCUCUCCCACAUAUUCCUCACCUUUAACAUUUAUUAGCUCCUGAGUUCUGAAGGUUUAAUAAACUUCUCACCUGGAAUAUGCAUUAUUCCAUUUGCUCUUCCAUCUCUGGGCAUGCAGGAUGUGCUGCUGCUGGUUCUCCUGCUGUUGGGGUCUGCAGCCAGGGGACUUCUUGAGGUAUUUUUCCCUAAAAAAUUCCCCUGAAACAGCACAGUGAAGGAAGAGGAAAGGACUCAUGUCCUUACCGUGAGUCCUCACCUUGGGAAAGACCCUUAAAUCAGUGAUCAACCUCGGUAGCAAAGUGAUGGGCUCAGCUCCCUCCAUCCUAACCCUCCGUGGACAGGCUUUUUGGUAAACCCCCCAAGCCUCAGAACUCCCAGGGAUCAGUGUCCUCCUUGGUGGUUCCUCAAUAGUCAUCAAAACCAUUAGGAGACACGUGCUGUCCAUCGCUACUCUCAUGAAACAACCACCAAAUCUAUGAUCCUUCCCAAGUGAAAACCAGAGCAGGUCCAGUACCCAAAGUCCUGCUUUAAUCCUGAUUUGCUUCACUUUUGUCACUCUAAGUGGGAUGUUUGGUGUGAACCAAGGGUUAAGUUUUGGAGACUUUCAUCUCUGAGUUGCUGUGUGAAGUGAGCUUUGCUAGAGAAGCAGCUUACCAGCCCUUUAGAGCCAGCAUUCGCUGUACAUAAGUGGCAUUACUUACUAGAGGGUACAUAUUUGUCAAAGCCUUACAUUUUCUGGUAUAAUUGCUAUUCUUGAAUGCCUCCGUUUUUUGACAAGGGGUGUUUUUAUCCUUUCUAAAAUCCUUGCUUGAACCCUGGUUGAUGUUUGUACUGCAAAAGCAAGCAUGCUGUGUACUCCCCUAGCGCUGCUCCGGCUGUAUUGCAGCAGCUGUGUGAGGUGGUGGUUUCUGGGCCGUACUGAUGGGUAGGAAACCAGCACAGUUCCUCGCUGCUUCUCCUCUGCUCUUUUCCUCACGGCAGCCAAGAAGCCAGUGAUUUUGAUGAGCUCUGCAGUUGUGCCUCUGUAAAGAAGGGGAGUGCUCUCUAAAUGAGAAAAGACUUCAUCUUAGGUUUCAGCAGCGGGUCUGUGUGAAGCCCGAGGAGGAGGUUAUGAGAUCAUAGUCUAUAUAGAACACCACAUAAUGUGGCUGUGAGGAAAGUCUUGAUUAAUUUUUAAAGCUGCACUUCCCCAGGACAGCUCCCAUCACACACUGGAACUUCUCACUGGCAUAAAAAAACUGGCUGGUGUGGACUGUGAAGCAGCUCCUCUCCCCCAGCCUGUUGUUAAAACAAGUCCUUUGGCCAAAUUAAUCCUAGGAUAGCACCACUGUGUGCUUGCAGGUCACACCCAGGACAGGAUGAGGCCCAUUAAUUCCACAUUCCUUCCUCUUCUCUUUUAGAAUUCUUUUCAGUAGUUAAAAUCAUAUGGAAUGGGAGCAAGCCUCCUGUCAUAACUUCCAUGUGCCCAGGAGAGGCAUCACCCAAGGAGAACACAGAAGUCACCCAAACCAGCGAGCUGUCAGUGGGGAGGAGUGAGAAGCCCAUCGUGCCUCUGGGUCAGAGCGUGGAGGCAUGCAGCAGUGACCCUGAUUCAGCUAAGCCCCAUACUAAAGCAGUUUCCUUAAAUCAGAAACACCCGUUAAAUCAGUUUAAUCUGAUUUGGGACUUUGCUUUGUUUCUGUAUCAUGCUAAAAUGAUGAGAGACUUAAAUCCAUUGCAGAAGCAGACGCAGCUCCUUUGAAGGAAAUGGGUUACAAACUGGUUUGGUCAGCCUGGGGCAGUUUUGAUGUGCACACAGGCUGUGGGAUCAGGCACUUUUCCCUGCUGCCUUGUAAGAUGAGGCUGUUUGGUCCUGCAGGCUGAGCAGGCACUGGAGAUUCACACUGGUGACAGGGGAAUGGCAAAUGGGGAAGCACAACUGAAGGAGAUCUUUCCCUUCUGCACAACUGCACUGCCAUGUACACAGUGGUGAGGACAGAAUAGUACCUCUACCUUAACAUUCAAUGUUAAUUUUCCUACACAUGGUUUUAAAACAUCUGUGAUCUUGGCAGACAUCUAAGAUAUGUGUAACAAACUACCUGUGGCUCCAAAUUCAAUCCCAGACCCACGUUUUUUGUCUGUGUCAAAACCUGGCUAUAUUCUACCUCCACAGCAGAUGACCAAUAUCUUCACAUCUUUCCAUAGAGCAGAUUUGCCUGCAGCAGAUUUGAUUUUGAAUCCAAAAUUGUUCCUGUGUAAUGCUCAGUGAGGCGCUGGGUGCUGUACACUGAGCUGAACUCCUCCACUGCAGUACAGGAGGUCAGGAGGUGCUGGCCAAGACAGCUCAACAUCCAAAAGCCCAGGGAGGUCUAAACAUGAGGCUUGAUCUUCCCUAGGAAAAGGGGAGACCUUAGAGCAGCUCCAGUGCCUAAAGGGGCUAUAAGAAACCUGGAGAGGGGCUUUGGACAAGAGCCUGUAGGGACAGGACAAGGGGAAUGGCUUUAACCUGCCAGAGGGGAGAUUGAGAUGAGCUCUGAGGCAGAAGCUCUUCCCUGUGAGGGUGCUGAGGCGCUGGCACAGGGUGCCCAGAGAAGCUGUGGCUGCCCCAUCCCUGGCAGUGUUCAAGGCCAGGCUGGAGCAACCUGCUCUAGUGGAAGGUGUCCCUGCCUGUGGCAGGGGUUGGAGCUGGACAGGAUUUAAGGUCUCUUCCAACCCAAACCAGGCUGGGAUUCCAUGAAAACCCAACCCAAACCAUUCUAUGACAACACUGGGGUAUCAGCUAGUCUGGGUGGAGGAGAGGAGUCCUCGUACGCUGCUCCUACCUUGGCCUUCUAGUUCUGCCCUGGUCUGAAGGUAGAAGCCCUUUCACUCCCAAGGCCAUCUCUGCUCUGUACAGGUGUAUAUCCCUGUUCCCAGCAGGAGACACUUUGGUGCUUCUUCCCUCUGCCAAUCCCACUGGCUUGAAUCACAUCUGUGUAACAAGGAUCUCAAUCAGCACAUACCCCAGCACACUCCCUCGCUUGGGCCUUCCAAACCACAGCUCUGCCUCUGCAGUGUGACUGUUCCACUCCCCAGCUGCAAGAGAAAGUUAUAAAACACAAAACAAGUGAUUUUUUUCCUCCCCUGAUAAUAUUUAUUUGAAUCCAAGAGUGAAUUUUCAUGUUAUUCCCAUCAGAGUUCUUCAGAGUUCAUCCUGCCUCAAUACUUGAGGAAUUUCACAGGUUUUUUUAAUAUUUACAGAAAGUGACUUUGGAGCUUGGUAAAUAUUCACUGAAAGCAUCUGGGUAUUGAAUUGUCAUUAUUAGUUACAGUUAUUAGCUUCAGAUGCCACCCAAGUAGAGAGCAAGGCCAACUGCAGUGGGAUUUGGUUUUCAUGGGUAUUCACAUUGCCCAUCAAUGUGAAGUCCACCCUUUAUCACAAGAAAACAAUGUUCCCCUCACCUCUGGUCCACGGGACGUUGGCAGAGCCUCCAGCCUGCAGCCAGGCUCCAGAGGUGAAGUGCGGUGAACACACCAUGCCUUGAACACGCUGGUUUGGAUGUAAACUCUGGCAGAGUCACUGUGCCCGUUUCCACCCUCACCAAAGCAAGAGCAAAGCGAAGCUCACUGCUGAGCCGAGUUCGGGAAGGCUCCUCUUUGUGGUUGGAUGGGGCUUCUCUCUUUUGUAAAAGGAAUUUCUUAUGCUGAGACUCUUUGUACAUAUUUAUAAUGACUUUAUUAAAAAAAAAAAGAAAAAUGACUGUUCAAUGGUGAAAAA